rnacentral:lncRNA from 10 species
AUUUAGACUCGUUCCUUUAACCCCUGGGCUCUGUGUGUAUGUGUGUGUUUUCCAUAUUUAUAACUCCUGCACAUGACAAAGGUCCUGAUACAUUGUAAGGACUCAGUUAAUGUUUGUGGAUUGCUUCCUUAUUGAUCUGUUUUCACAAAAAUGCUGCCAAAAAAUGUCAAGCAGGAUAAUGAUGAGGUUACAAGAGAGACAAGUGAAUGGGCAAGAAGAGACUAAGGGUAAAGUAAGAGGACUAACUUCCAUUGACUGCUUACGAAAUGCCACGCACUGUGCUGAGGACUUUAUAUAAAUAUCUCAUUUAAUUCUUAUAAAAGCCCAAUAAAGAAAUAAUUAUCACCCCAGUCCCACCACCUGUUUUUGCAUGAUUGUGGCCAUGAUAUCAAAAUAAUCAAAUAGAUGGUAUUUGGAGGUAUAUAAUAGUCUUUACCUAUGCCUUCCAUACAUCAGGGCCUCAAUGGUGCUUGACUAGGAUUUGCACUGUGGGUUAGUAUAGUUCAUGGGUUGUUAUUUGAAGCUGACUCUUGUGUUCAUGCAGGAGGGCAGGAAUCUUCCUGGCUGUUCUGUCUGCCCCUGUUACCCUCAGUGAAAAUGAAAGGAAGCACAGUACAUAGUGGUUGACAGGAAUGAAGGUUUCCAACCUUCUAACUGUGGUUGGAGAGCUUCCUGUGUGGCAUUUCCCCUCCUUCCUGGAACUCUUUAGUAUUGUAGGAAAUGAGUGACUUGGGCAAUUGCGAUAGACUUCAAGCAAUUGGAUUCACUGAAGAACAUUUUAUGGAGGAGGAGGAGGAGGAACACAAAAUCUUGAAAGCUCUGGGUUGAGAGAAACCAUCAAGGGUAUCCACGUUAACCACUAAGCAAGCUUUUGAAUCCCCUGAUAGUAUUCCAAAUUGCCAUCUCUGUGACCUUGAACAAAAAACUUCACCUCUCUUAGUGAGUUUCCACAUAGGCAAAAACAAAAACAAAAAUGAAAAAAACUAAACAAAACCUUCUAGGGUUGUCGUGAAGAUCAGAGAGAACGUACUCCUGGAAUAUAUUAGGUACCCAGUACAAGUUUUAAAAAUAGACUUUAUUUUUAGAGCAGUUUUAGGUUCAUAGCAUAACUGAUCAUAAGGUACAGAGUUGACAUAUACCCUGUGAUUCCCUGGAUGGCCUCCCCACUAGAAAUAUCCACCCACUGGAGUGGUACAUUUGUUACAAUUGAUGAACCUAUAUUGACAUGCCCUUAUCACCGAAAGUCCAUAGAUUACAUAAGGGCUUGCUCUUGGUGCUGUACAUUGUCUGGGUUUGGACAAAUGUAUAAAAGGCCAUUAUAGUAUCAUACAGAGGAGUUUCACUGCUGAAAAAAUCCUCUGUGCUCCUCUAAUUCAUCCCUCCUUCCCCACCAACCCCUGGCAACCACUGAUCCUUUUACUGCCUCCAUAGUUUUGCCUUUUCCAGAAUGUCAUACAGUUGGAGUCACAUGGAGUAACCUUUUCAGAUUGGCUUCUUUCACUUAGUAAUAUGCACUUAAAGUUCUAUGUAUUUUCAUGGCUUGAUAGCUCAUCUCUUUUAGCCCUCUUUUAUGCCAUUGUCUCGAUGUACCACAGUUUACUUAUUCAUUCACCUACUGAAGGACAUCUUGGUUGCUUCUAAGUUUUGGCAACUAUGAAUAAAGCUGCUAUAAACAUUAGCGUGCAGGUUUUUGUGUGGAUAUUAGAUUUCAACUCAUGGGUACUCAGUAUUUUUUAAAUGAAAAAUAUAUCUGUCCUUACUCCCAUAAAUUCCUCCUUUCCAUCAAUUCUUCCCAAGGUGAGGGAUCAGUGCAUACAAGAGGCCCAAUUUGCAGCAAAAUGCUCAUUAAUUAGCCAAGAGGCUGCGGUGGCACAGCAAGUAAACAACGUACUACAAAUCUGUUUACAGCGGCUUCUGCAGACAUUUUAAAACAAUUAAACUGUCAAGGGGGCCUGGAGACAAGAGCUUUGCAUUUUAAUAGGAAAUGAUUAAAUCUCAGGCAUUAUUGCCUUCGAUGUGUCUAGGCUUUAAGAAGAGGGCAGAGUAUUGAUUGAGGCCUCCAGGAAGGCAGGAAGCUUACUUGUGCUGCUUGACCGCAAUGCAGUGAAAGCUUGGAGAUCUGUAACUCCUUGGGCUGGAAUUAAAGGCCAGUAGCCAAAAAUUUAACUGGAUUUGUCACCUUCUGUUUAGUUGGACUCUGCCUGUAGGAACAGAUGAUAGAUCAUGACCUCCGGGGUAUUAUUCGUCAAUUGGCAGAGAGAGAGAGAGAGAGAGAGAGAGCCCCUUGCUGAUGGCAUCUAUUAGAAAAGGCUGAAUGACACAGCGCCAUGUGGUGACCUCAGUAUUUACACUAUCUGGAUUAAAACCAUUGUAAAGCAAGUGAAAGCCACCCAUGUAGUCACUGCCUGAGUCAACUAAUGCAAACUGCACUCUAACCUGUGAAUAUGUGUGUGCCACAGUUAUGACGGACACGCAGUCUCAAACAUCUAGUGUAUUCACCUUCUCUAUUGAUUUCAUCUAUUCACAGGUGCUGGUCAGAUCACAUGUGGUUCUUGCCCUCUAGCUACUCACAGUCCAGUAAAUGAGGGAACAUGUAAGCAGCUGGGUACAAUCCAAUACAGUGAUAGAUGUUGUUGGCUACAGUGAGGGGACCAAGGAGGUCACAUUCAAAUUGAGAGAUGUGGAGGGGCUGGCAGAAAAUUCUUUCUAGAGAAGGUUCUACUUGAAAGAUUAGUAGGCAGACAAGGGGACAAGGACACUUCAAACUGAGGGAAGUUCUUGAACAAACCUGUGGAGGUGUGAAAAAGCCUAGUACAUUCCAAGAACCCAGUCUGGUAGUGUGGAACCUGAGUCCUCUGGUACUUUUUAAAGGAUGGGGUGACCUUAGUCCUCAGGUUUAAAAACUUAAUCAAUAAAUGAUGACGUUAUUGAAAUAUAUCACCACAUAAUGCUAAAUAGAACAGGUGAGCACUACCAUUCUCUGUGCCUUUCUAUUGCUUAAAAUCCUUCCAUUUGUCAUACUUCUUAAAAGUAUGCCAAUUGGAGAACAAGACACUUGCUUCCAAAAUGAGAAUACCUUUGUGAAAAUUGACAAAUUUGUGUGAAUUAGCUUAAUCAGAUUGCUUUCUUCCACAACACCUGACCAAGACCAGCCACUCUGAUGACGAGGAGAAUAGGGGGAUGUGGAAUGCAAAAGAAGGUAGGAGCAUGGGGUACUGAGGGUGGAGAGGGCUCCUCUUGCAGUGGAAUUACAGGCAGCUAGGGAGCAGCACAAAGGCCCUGCAUGGCUGAGAAUUAGUUUAGGGGAAAGGAAAGAGAGGAUAGCAGAAAUAAAUUUUACCUGACUUGCAAUUUGGCUCCAUGUCGGCUCUCAUUUUGUUUAUUUCUGUGCUGUCUAGACAUCAACAGAUUGAGCUGCUCCCAUCCCUGGGGACCCCCUUCCCCACUACACUGACCAGUGCAGCCCCCUGCAGGGCCAUUAUAAGAAGCUAUGGCACAGCUGAAAGACUGAGUCUCUUGAUUAGACCUGAUAAGACCACUCAUAUUAAGAUGACUUAAUUUUGUCCCUUGAGAAAUGCCUUUUUAAGAGCUCCCACAUUGGCCAAGAGAGACUGCCUCCAUAUUAAGCU